AAUCAAUAAUUAUUAAAACCCUAAAAACCUGUAAUAACAAACGAAUGAAAAAUCUAGCCCAGUAAACUGUAACCGAAAAUUGAACUCAACGCAGUCUCCCUCUUUUCUUCUCUUCAUCAUCUCUCUAUUUCGACCCAUUUGCUUUGUUACCUUAAACUCAACGCACUCUCCCUCUUUUCUCUAUAUCCUCGCUCAUUUCAACUCAUUUGCUCUGUUACCGCCGCCACUCAGCCAAGAUUCUUCGAUCUCAAGAGCCCGCCCGUAGGCUCAACGCCAUCUUCCUCAAUAGACUGAGGCACUUACAUUUUCAAAGAUUUUUCCAUUCCUUUUUUUUUUUUUCAUUUUCUUUCUGUUUCAUUUUUAUGAAUUUUUUUAAACAUUUUCCACCAGUUUCACGAGAUGGCAGCUGAGGGAGGCAAGAGCUAUGCAAGGAGAGAUAAGCUACUGGAAAUUAAGUCAAAAGUUAGAGUUUGGUGGGAAGAAAAAGAUGUGUUUAAGGCAGAGCCUUGUGAAAAACCUCCUCAACCAGGUCCAACUUCUGUGACUGGGAACUUCUGGUCCUAAGCCUUUGCACCAUGGAUUCCAUGUUCAUGCCCUUGGGGACACAACAAAUGGUUGCAUGUCAACAGGUAAAAGUCUGAAAGUUGGAUUUGUUUUUCCUUUUUCUUUGAAGUUGGAAGGAAAUGAAGAAAAAAGAAAAAGGAAUGACAGUAGGUUGGCUUUAUUGAUUUCUUUUGUCUUUGGAUGUAAUCUUUUGGAGAUUUCAUUCUGGUGCUGCUGCCUCUCAGCAUCCAAAAGCACAGCUUUAAUGCUGCUCAUGGUCUCCUGGAGCUUUCUCAAAUCUCUUUUGACACAAAAGGCCAAACGAAGUUCUUCCACAGCGACGUGGGCUAUUUUCUCCAGAACCCUUUCCGCAAUAUUGAAAAGAAAUGAUUCCGCCAUAAUUGAACUCUUAAGAGUUGGGAAAGAAAGAGGAAAUGCAACCACAAAUUGUUUUAGGGAAACAAAGGUAAUCUUUUCAGCAAUAUAUCGUGUGGUUGCCUUUAUCUAAUCUUGUGCGUCAACAAAUAUCUUUUUUUAUGGCAAAAAGCAGUUUUUUUUAUAGUUGACUUCGAGUCCCGGAGACGCUACUCCGUUUUGUAUUUGGAUUUUCUUUUUUUCUGAGUAACUUCUAUUUUACGUUUCACCAAAAUAAAUAUUUAUUUAUCGUUACGGACGUGUAAUAAAAUAUUAUUUUUAAUUUUAUUGAUCAGAAUUUAGUUCUAAUAAUUUCACCUAAAAAGUAAUUCAUUAACUAUGCACCGAUCACGUUGUAAUACUAUUUAAAAGACGCGAACAGUGUGAGACAGGUUUUAUGAAUUCACGCAUUGCUCUCCAACCUCGUCUCUUGUACCUAAGCUUAUGGGAAUAAAGUAUUUAAAAAAGUAGAAUAAAUUGAGGGGCAUAAGUAGAAAAAUAAAGGUUAGGGUGACUUGAGAUUAGUGCGAAAGGAUAAAAUAAUAAGGUUAAAAUGUUAAAAGAGAAUGAUAAUAAAGUAUUUAAAAAUAAAAAGAAUAAGAAUAAAAUGAGGCGCGUAGAAAAAAAAUUAAGGUGAAUCCAGGUCAGUGCAAUAGGGU